GGAACGACGCCGUUUAUGCCGCCGGUGGCAGAGAAAAAACACAAAGAAACGAAACCAAAAAGAAAAGAGAAAAAAAGGGGGUGGAAUUUGGAUCUAAAAACACGUUGGGUCGGUCUCCUCUGCAAUUCGAUCACGACGCAUCUCCUUGCCGGUCGGAGAUGGAUCUGGUCCGGUGAAUUUUGAGAUUUAAGUUUCAGAUUUCUGGUGGAGAUGGCUUGGUUCAGUGGAAAAGUUUCUCUGGGAGGAUUCCCAGAUCUCACUGGGGCAGUAAAUAAAUUCCAGGAGAGCGUUAAGAACAUCGAAAAGAAUUUCGACAACGCCCUUGGCUUUGACGAGAAGUCGGAAUCUGGCGGUGAAGCUUCAAGUACGUGGCCACCUGCAGUUGAUACCAAAAGUCUCUUUGAUCCCGUAAUGUCCUUCAUGGGUAACACCUCUGAUGAGAAGCUGGAUAAAUUGGAAGAUUCUGUGAGUACAGUAAAUCCAUCUCAGAUCGAAGAAAAAGAACAGGAAGGAUCUGGUAAGCUAGCCACUGAGCAGGCAGUAUCCGUCGAAGCAAAGAAAGAAUCAGAUGUGCAAAGACAAGCUGAUCAAGCUGAAUUUCCUGAGGUAACAGAGACUCUCGUUUUAGAUCUCAAAGAUAAUGAACCUGAAUCGCAGAUUGUUCUCGAAGAGUCUUCUGAAUACUCUCUUCAGCGUCCUGAAUCGUCUGGUUACACGACUAGUCUUGAACCUAAUGACAAGCCGGAAAUGACAGCUUCCCAAGAGUCACCGCCAGAGCGGCCCAAGUCGGAAGAAUCUAGAUCAGAGGCAGAGGAGCCAAAGCCAGAGGAUUCUGGAACCAAAGAAGUUUUUGUAGCAAACAAUGACGUAGUUUACUCCCCUGUGUUUGAAGGACCGCAUAAGAUUGCUGAUACGGAUGAGACAAUAAAUGAACAGAAAUGGCAGCGUGAAAAUCUGGAAGAGACAACCUCGUCUAUAAAUGUUGAAGGUUCAACCGAUAUAAACAAGCUUAACAGGAUAGAGUCCCCUGAUACUCAACCCACUUUAGCUACUGAGUCAGACGUUCCUGCUUACGAGUCUUCUGUGCCAAAGAGAUCUUCUUCAGAUGAAAUUUCCGAGAGCAUUGUAGAUUUGGUUUCUCGUGAACUAAAUUCACGGAUUGAUGCUAAUGAAUUGAACGAGGGCCAGCGUUUGAGCUCUGCAACAAAUGCUUCCAACUCAGCUGAUGUUGUUCUGGAAUUAGAGAAGACCAAAAAGGAAAUGAAAAUGUUAGAAAAUGCCCUACAAGGUGCUGCAAGGCAAGCUCAGGCAAAGGCUGAUGAGAUUGCGAAGUUGAUGCAUGAAAACGAGCAGCUAAAAUCUGUCACUGAGGAUUUGAAGAGGAAAUCUAAUGAAGCUGAAGUUGAGUCUUUGCGAGAAGAAUACCAUCAGAGAGUUGCUACUCUUGAGAGGAAGGUUUAUGCUCUCACCAAAGAGAGGGAUACACUUAGAAGAGAACAGAACAAGAAAAGUGAUGCUGCGGCCCUUUUGAAGGAGAAAGAUGAAAUAAUAAAUCAAGUUAUGGCUGAGGGCGAAGAGCUUUCAAAGAAACAAGCUGCUCAAGAGGCUCAGAUCAGGAAGUUGAGGGCUCAGAUUAGAGAGGUAGAAGAAGACAAGAAAGGACUGAUCACAAAGCUUCAGUCUGAAGAAAAUAAGGUAGAAAGUAUUAAAAGAGACAAGACAGCUACAGAGAAGCUACUGCAAGAGACCGUAGAAAAACAUCAAGCCGAACUUACUUCUCAGAAAGAGUAUUACUCGAAUGCAUUAGCUGCAGCAAAGGAAGCUCAAGCAUUAGCUGAGGAGCGUACCAACAAUGAAGCGAGAACAGAGUUAGAGAAUCGUCUAAAGGAGGCCGGAGAGCGGGAAUCUAUGCUAGUACAGGCACUGGAAGAAUUGAGGCAAACCUUAAGCAAAAAGGAGCAACAGGCAGUGUAUAGGGAAGACAUGUUCCGUGGAGAAAUUGAAGACCUUCAAAGACGUUACCAGGCUAGUGAGCGAAGGUGUGAGGAAUUAAUCACUCAGGUUCCUGACUCUACAAGGCCUCUCCUAAGACAGAUUGAGGCUAUGCAGGAAAAUACAGCCAGAAGAGCAGAAGCUUGGGCUGCUGUAGAGAGAACUCUAAAUGCCCGACUGCAGGAAGCAGAAACUAAAGCUGCCACAGCUGAAGAACGAGAGCGCUCUGUGAAUGAACGCCUCUCUCAAACCUUAUCAAGGAUCAAUGUUCUAGAGGCCCAGCUUUCAUGUCUUAGAGCAGAACAGGGCCAGUUAAGCAAGUCGCUCGAGAAGGAGAGGCAGAGAGCGGCAGAGAAUAGACAGGAAUAUCUGGCAGCUAAGGAGGAAGCAGAUACCCUUGAAGGUCGAGCAAAUCAACUUGAAGUGGAAAUAAGGGAAUUGCGGAGAAAACAUAAGCAAGAGUUGCAAGAAGUGCUACUCCACAACGAACUUAUUCAAAAGGACCUAGAAAGGGAGAAGGCUUCCCGUUUGGAUCUUGAAAGAACAGCCCAUAUCAAUUCCUCGGCGCCCUCUGAACAGCUUCCCAUAGCAAGGCAGAAUUCUGCCUUUGAGAAUGGAGGCUUGCCAAGAAAGCUCUCAAGCGCAAGCAGCCUUGGCAGCAUGGAGGAGAGCUAUUUUCUGCAAGCUUCACUUGAUUCUUCAGAUAAAUUUUCUGAGAAGAGAAGCAUGCCUGAGGCAACUAUGAGUCCAUACUACAUGAAGAGCAUCACACCGAGUGCUUAUGAAGCUACACUUCGCCAGAAAGAGGGUGAACUCGCUUCAUACAUGUCCCGCUUGGCAUCAAUGGAGUCUAUCCGAGAUUCCCUGGCUGAAGAGCUAGUCAAGAUGACAGCAGAGUGUGAGAAAUUAAGGGGGGAAGCGGAUAGGGUGCCGGGCAUGAAGGCUGAGCUGGAAGCAUUGAGGCAAAGGCAUGCGGCUGCGCUGGAACUGAUGGGUGAACGGGAUGAGGAGUUGGAGGAACUUCGAGCGGAUAUAGUGGACUUGAAGGAAAUGUACAGGGAGCAAGUGAACAUGCUGGUGAACAAGAUCCAAUGAGAAAUCAAGUAAUGAAGAUGCUGGUGAACAAAGUGUUGACAGGCUCACGCUCAUGAGAGGCUUUAAAACAAAGUUUUGCUGCUCGAAAGAAGAUUUGCCUUAUAGUUUACCGUAAUUAUUUGGAGCGAGAAUAAUUAAGAGUACCCCUGUGUGACUGUCUCGUAUUGUCUCUGUAUAUGAUGAUGAUGAUGAUGAUGAUAAACAUGUCUUCUUGUCUCU